GACGAACGCUGGCGGCGUGCUUAACACAUGCAAGUCGAACGGAAAGGCCCUGCUUUUGUGGGGUGCUCGAGUGGCGAACGGGUGAGUAACACGUGAGUAACCUGCCCUUGACUUUGGGAUAACUUCAGGAAACUGGGGCUAAUACCGGAUAGGAGCUCCUGCUGCAUGGUGGGGGUUGGAAAGGUUCGGCGGUUGGGGAUGGACUCGCGGCUUAUCAGCUUGUUGGUGGGGUAGUGGCUUACCAAGGCUUUGACGGGUAGCCGGCCUGAGAGGGUGACCGGCCACAUUGGGACUGAGAUACGGCCCAGACUCCUACGGGAGGCAGCAGUGGGGAAUAUUGCACAAUGGGCGGAAGCCCGAUGCAGCAACGCCGCGUGCGGGAUGACGGCCUUCGGGUUGUAAACCGCUUUCGCCUGUGACGAAGCGUGAGUGACGGUAAUGGGUAAAGAAGCACCGGCUAACUACGUG
rnacentral:rRNA from 1 species